rnacentral:SRP_RNA from 1 species
UGGCGGGCAGUCCGGGUGGUUCGGCGUCACCUGUAACCCGAAAUCGUCGAUAAGCGGGGGGCGAAGCUGACGGGAGACUUUGGGCGCUGCAUGCUCAGUCCAGCCGCAGACUAUGAUUCUCCGUCCUGCAGGGACAGCACCGGUCCAUGGCCCAUCCUGAGGGCUGGGCUGUGUACCAUAAUUGCAGGCACCGGUUCAGGCCCGGAAGGGAGCAGACCCACUGCGGGUAACUGUCGCUUGCAGGCCCGAGGGGAGGAGAAAGCUCCUGGAUCAACUGGCAUGCACGUCUGCUGGCGACCGCUGGCGUGCCCGCCU